AUUGAACGCUGGCGGCAGGCCUAACACAUGCAAGUCGAACGGUAACAGGAAGCAGCUUGCUGCUUUGCUGACGAGUGGCGGACGGGUGAGUAAUGUCUGGGAAACUGCCUGAUGGAGGGGGAUAACUACUGGAAACGGUAGCUAAUACCGCAUAACGUCGCAAGACCAAAGAGGGGGACCUUAGGGCCUCUUGCCAUCGGAUGUGCCCAGAUGGGAUUAGCUAGUAGGUGGGGUAACGGCUCACCUAGGCGACGAUCCCUAGCUGGUCUGAGGGGAUGACCAGCCACACUGGAAAUGAGAACACGUUCAGGCUUCCAAGGGGGGGCGGAGGGGGGAAUAUUGGACAAUGGGGGGAAACCCUAUGGCAGCCAGGCGGGGGGUAUAAGGAAGGCUUUGGGGUGGAAAAUACUUUUAGCGGGGAAGAAGGGAGGAAAGUUAAUACCUUUGCCUAUUGACGUUAACCGGAGAAGAAGGACCGGCUUACCUCGUG
rnacentral:rRNA from 1 species